rnacentral:rRNA from 1 species
UACAGAGGGUGCAAGCGUUGUUCGGAAUUAUUGGGCGUAAAGGGUGCGUAGGCGGUGCGGUAAGUCUUUUGUGAAAUCUCCGGGCUCAACUCGGAGUCUGCAGGAGAAACUGCCGUGCUUGAGUAUGGGAGAGGUGAGUGGAAUUCCUGGUGUAGCGGUGAAAUGCGUAGAUAUCAGGAGGAACACCUGUGGCGAAAGCGGCGCACUGGACCACAACUGACGCUGAGGCGCGAAAGCUAGGGGAGCAAACAGG